rnacentral:misc_RNA from 1 species
GCUAAGAUGGAAUCGUUGACAGACUUAAAUAGAUGCUGGAUAUGGAUAUGAUCCACAAGUCCACAACAGAUAAUUCCUAUUUUAGAAUUACUUUAAUCUUUUCAGAUACAUAUUGUAGAUUCUUAUAAUAAGUCCACAAAUUAGUCUUAAGGCGUUGAAAAAUUGGCUGGCCUAAUCAACCAAACCCUUCUUAUCUCAGAUAUUGGCUCUAGUGGUGUAUUGUCACCAUUAUAAAGUCCAUACAAGAACACAAAAAAUGUUCACAAUAAAUGUCUAAGAAA